UCCAGGUUUCCAUUUUCUUUGUUCUGCAACUUUCUUUGUAACUUUUCCACAAAAAAGCUAGUUACUAAGUUUCCAAUGGCUUCCACUAGCUCCGAAACACCUUCUUUAUCAUUGUCAUCAUCUUCUUCUUCAAUUCCUGGUUCAAACUAUGAUGUUUUUCUCAGUUUUCGGGGUGAGGACACCCGCCAUAGCUUUACAGACCAUUUAUACGAGGCAUUUAGAUUGAGAGGCAUUGAAGCCUUUAGAGACAGCGAAAAACUCCAACUAGGACAAGAAAUUGCUUCUGAGCUCAUACAAGCAAUAGAAAAUUCCCAGUAUGCAAUUGUUGUUUUCUCAGAAAAAUAUGCCGAUUCUAGGUGGUGCUUGGAUGAACUUGCUGAAAUUGUUGAAUGCAAAAAAAAUAAGGGACUUAAAGUGGUGCCUGUCUUUUACCACGUAGGUCCCUCCGACGUACGGAAGCAGACUGGGCCGUUUGGAAAAGCCUUUGCCGAACAUAAUAAAGAUGACAGAAUCGACGGAGAGAAGAUCCAGAAAUGGAAGGAUGCUCUGAGAGAAGUGGGGAAUUUAUCCGGCAAGCAUUUAAUUUCACAUCAAAGCUCUGAGGCAAAAGUUAUCCAAAACAUUGUGCAAUGGAUAUCAAAUAACUUGAGUUAUAAAAUCGAAACUAAUGAACUAGUUGGAAUAAGUUCCCGAACUAAGGAUUUGAAGUCACUUUUAGCUUUAGAGUCAAAAGAUGUUCGCUUUAUAGGAAUUUGGGGGAUGGGAGGAAUGGGUAAAACAACUCUAGCAAAAGUUGUUCAUAAAACGUUUUCCAAUCAAUUUGAAGCUAAUAGUUUUCUUCAUGAUGUUAGGAGGAAAUCUGAAAAUGGUUUACAUGGGUUACAAAAAAGACUUUUGAAAGAGCUUUUGUGCGGCAUAGAUAUGGAUAUACAAGAUGUUGAUGAGGGAGUUUUCAUCAUAAAGAAAAGGUUACAUUGCAAAAAGAUUCUUCUUGUUCUUGAUGAUGUAGAUGAUUUAAAGCAAUUGGAGAAGUUAGCUGGGGGGCAUAGCUGGUUUGGUCCAGGUAGUAGGAUUAUCAUAACAACAAGAAAUAAGAGCUUGCUUGAGACACAUGAUGUAAAUGAAAUAUAUGAGGUUAAAGAAUUGAAUGAUGGCGAAGCUCUUCAACUUUUUAGUUUGAAAGCUUUUGGGAAAGGCCAUCCUGAUGUUGAUUAUAUGGAGCUAUCCCAAGAUUUUAUAAGUUAUUCUCAUGGCCUUCCUUUAGCCCUUGAGCUUUUGGGUCUCUCUUUGUUGAAAAAAAAUAAAGUUUUCUGGAAAGGUUUGUUAGACAAGCUAAAAAAAUCUCCAGAAAGAGGUAUUAUCAAAGUACUUAAAAUAAGUUAUGAGGGACUAGAACCAAUUGAAAAAGAAAUUUUCCUCAAUAUUUCAUGUUUCUUUUGUGGAAAUGAUCAAGAUAGUGUCUUUAAAAUAUUAGAUUAUCUUGAACUUGUCCCUGAAUAUGGAUUAGAGAUUCUUAAAUGUAAAGCUCUCAUCAAAUUGGUAGGCAAUCUAUUAUGGAUGCAUGAUUUACUCCAAGAAAUGGGUCGGGAUAUAGUUUUUCAAGAGUGCCCUGACAAUCCUUUGAGGCGUAGUAGAUUGUGGUUGUAUAAAGACAUUGAAGAUGUGCUAGAAAGAAAUAAGGAAACAGAAGAAAUUCAAGGCAUAGUCCUAAAGUUAUUCAACCCAAAAGUGGCACAUUGGAAUCUUAAAUCCUUUUCAAAGAUGCAUUGUCUGAAAACGCUCAUAAUUGAUAAUGUCGACCUCAAGAAUGAUCUCAAAUAUCUUCCAAGUGGCUUAAGAUUUCUUGAUUGGAGUGGGUACCCUUCAAAAUUGUUUCCAUCAAGUUUCAAAGCCAAGUCUUUUGAGAGGUUGAAAGCCAUCAAAUUGAACAAGUCCCCGAAACUUAUUAAAACCCCUAACUUCACCGAUUUCCCCGUUCUUAAGGAAUUGGAACUUAAGGAUUGUAUAAAUUUACUUGCCUUGCACCCAUCAAUUGGAGUUCAUAAAAAGCUCACUCUUCUUAAUCUAAAAGGUUGCAAAAACCUCAAAAGUCUUCCAAGAAAGCUUGAAAUGGAGUCUCUUGAGAUUCUUAUUCUUUCCGAAUGCUCAAAAGUAAAAAGUAUUCCAGAAUUUGGAGAAAAUAUGAAAAGUGUAUCAAAGUUUUACUUAGAUGGCACUACUAUUACAAAAUUGCCCACUUCGAUUGGGAAUUUGACAGGUCUUGUUUUAUUGAAUGUAAAAGAUUGCAAAAACCUCAUGACUCUUCCUAGCACCUUUUUAAAACUCAAUUCCCUUGAAAAACUGCAUCUUUCCGGAUGCUCAAAACUACUAAAGAUCUUGGGGGCUACUGAAUUUUUAGAGGGUUUUGAUGAGACUGGGACUGCUAAAAAACUUAAAAAACUAUUUAUCAGUGGAGUUAAGCAAAGAAGUACCAAUCCCUUGGAUUUGUCAAUUACUUCUCUAUCGAGUUUGUGUUCUUUGAGCAAAUUGGAGACACUGGAUUUAAGUUAUUGCAAUCUCAAUGCAAUCCCCAAUGCUAUUGGUUGCUUAUCCACUUUAGAAAUUUUAAUUCUAAGAGGAAAUAAUUUUGGUUCCUUCAUGCAAAGAAGUCCCGAUCCCUUGGAGAUGUUAUUGACUUCUCUAUCGGAGGGUUCAUGUUCUUUGAACAAAUUGGAUCUAAGUUAUUGCAAUCUCAAUGCAAUCCCCAAUGCUAUUGGUUGCUUAUCCACUUUAGAAAUUUUAAUUCUAAGUGGAAAUAAUUUUGGUUCCUUCAUGCAAAGAAGUCCCGAUCCCUUGGAGAUGUUAUUGACUUCUCUAUCGGAGGGUUCGUGUUCUUUGAACAAAUUGGAUCUAAGUUAUUGCAAUCUCAAUGGUUUCUCCGAUAGAAUUGGUUGCCUUCCCAGUCUAGAAGAAUUAAGUCUAAGUGGAAAUAAGUUUGGUUACCUCCCGGAAAGCAUCGCUCAACUAAGUAAUCUGUUAUUUUUGGGCCUGAAAGAUUGCCCGAGUCUCCGAUCAUUACCAAAGCUUCCAUAUCGGCCAGAGAGUAAUCCCUUUGAUUUAUCACUAAAGAGUCAACAUAGGAGGAGGCCUACUCCUUUUAGUGCAACUGGAAAUGGUCCUACCCAUACAUAUUUGGGGAAAGAAUGGCCACAACUGGGUCUCGAUCAAGACUUCAUUGCAGAUAUAUACGGGUUUGUAGACUCACAAGCGACACUUAGUUUUGGAAGUGAAAUUCCAGAGUGGUUUGAGCUUCAAAAUAUCGGGGCUGAAAUUAAUAUUAAAGUACCUUCUCAUUUGUGCGAUGAAUUGGCGGGAAUUGCUAGCUGUGGUGUGAUUUGCUGUCGUCAACUGGUCGACAUUGUCCAACAUGACUGCUAUUUUAUAUGUAAUGGAAACAUUAUUGAAUCAAUUUUAAUAAUUGGUCCAAUGACUCAGGAUUUAUCAGAUCGGCUUUUCCUAGCCUAUUUUCCUAAAGCAACGAGCAAUUGGAAAGAAUAUGUUGUGAAUGGAUUCGCUAAGUUUGGCAUUAGAUAUCGAGCCCAUGGUUCAGGCAUGGAGGUGAAGGAAUGCGGAAUUCGUUUGGUGUACGAGAAAGAGGUUGAAAGUUUCCAAGAAAAUCGCAAUCGAAUGAGGGUUGAGAGAAUAAAGAAACAGAGGGAAAAAGACAUUGAUGAAAUCAAUCCACUUAUGGCUGAGAGUCAGAGAAGCAACAACAGCUUCAUUAUUUCUGAGGGCUGGACCGGGAUCAAUUGAGUACCACGAAUGUGGUGAGGAGUUACACGAUUGGGAGGAAUCUAGAGAGUGACCAGGAAGGCUAAUCCACUUUUUUUUCUCUUCAUUGCCUGCAUGGAUGAAGAGCUGGAUGAAGGGAAUGAGUUUUGGGGAUCUUAAAGUACUCAUUGUCUUUUUUUCUCUAUUUUAUGGUCUAUUUGGACUAAUAGGAACAAGGCAACUGUGAGGAAAGAGCCUUUCUUUGCCACAAAUGUGGUCAUGUAUUGUAAAUUUUGAUUUCAAUGUGCAGGGUAACUAACAGUUCAUAAGCCUUGAUAGCAACAGGAUAAGCAAGUCUAAGUGUUCCAACUAGCAACCAACUCCGUUGGAGACAAGCUGCAAGCAUAGGAGAAGGAAAUAGAGGGGAUCCAGCUUCUUUUGUAAGAUAGAGAAGGUGCAUUUCCAUGGCUGGUUGUUUCAGCUGAGCUGUUAAAGAUACUAUAUGACAGCAGCUUUAUUGGCUUUCUGUGAAAGAUUGUUGAAGCUAAAAGCUUUGUGUUAACAAACAGGUGGCAGAGUUGGCCAAUAGAGAGGCUGUGUGGUGAAGGUCAUUCAACAGUUUACAAAUGUUUGGAUUUGACCGGUGGACAGAUGUCCUAGCAGAGCCUUGAUCCCUAGCAACCCUUUGCCCAUAAGUUCUUCAUGAACAUUAGCUUGGAUAACUGGAAGCAAACUCCGAAUCUUGUACUCUUUUCUUCUUGUGCUGUUUUGGUUCCUUUGUUUCAAUGUACAAAAAAAGAA